rnacentral:rRNA from 2 species
AAAUUGAAGAGUUUGAUCAUGGCUCAGAUUGAACGCUGGCGGCAGGCCUAACACAUGCAAGUCGAACGGUAACAGGAAGCAGCUUGCUGCUUUGCUGACGAGUGGCGGACGGGUGAGUAAUGUCUGGGAAACUGCCUGAUGGAGGGGGAUAACUACUGGAAACGGUGGCUAAUACCGCAUAACGUCGCAAGACCAAAGAGGGGGACCUUCGGGCCUCUUGCCAUCAGAUGUGCCCAGAUGGGAUUAGCUUGUUGGUGAGGUAACGGCUCACCAAGGCGACGAUCCCUAGCUGGUCUGAGAGGAUGACCAGCCACACUGGAACUGAGACACGGUCCAGACUCCUACGGGAGGCAGCAGUGGGGAAUAUUGCACAAUGGGCGCAAGCCUGAUGCAGCCAUGCCGCGUGUAUGAAGAAGGCCUUCGGGUUGUAAAGUACUUUCAGCGGGGAGGAAGGUGUUGCGGUUAAUAACCGCAGCAAUUGACGUUACCCGCAGAAGAAGCACCGGCUAACUCCGUGCCAGCAGCCGCGGUAAUACGGAGGGUGCAAGCGUUAAUCGGAAUUACUGGGCGUAAAGCGCACGCAGGCGGUCUGUCAAGUCGGAUGUGAAAUCCCCGGGCUCAACCUGGGAACUGCAUUCGAAACUGGCAGGCUUGAGUCUUGUAGAGGGGGGUAGAAUUCCAGGUGUAGCGGUGAAAUGCGUAGAGAUCUGGAGGAAUACCGGUGGCGAAGGCGGCCCCCUGGACAAAGACUGACGCUCAGGUGCGAAAGCGUGGGGAGCAAACAGGAUUAGAUACCCUGGUAGUCCACGCCGUAAACGAUGUCUACUUGGAGGUUGUGCCCUUGAGGCGUGGCUUCCGGAGCUAACGCGUUAAGUAGACCGCCUGGGGAGUACGGCCGCAAGGUUAAAACUCAAAUGAAUUGACGGGGGCCCGCACAAGCGGUGGAGCAUGUGGUUUAAUUCGAUGCAACGCGAAGAACCUUACCUGGUCUUGACAUCCACAGAAGAAUCCAGAGAUGGAUUGGUGCCUUCGGGAACUGUG